rnacentral:rRNA from 1 species
AAAGAUUGUGACUAAUAAUUGCAAUUCAUGACGGUAUCAACAGAAGAAGCACCGGCUAACUACGUGCCAGCAGCCGCGGUAAUACGUAGGGUGCGAGCGUUAAUCGGAAUUACUGGGCGUAAAGGGUGCGCAGGCGGUUCUGUAAGUCAGAUGUGAAAUCCCCGGGCUUAACCUGGGAACUGCGUUUGAAACUACAGAGCUAGAGUGUGGCAGAGGGGGGUUGGAAUUCCAUGUGUAGCAGUGAAAUGCGUAGAGAUAUGGAAGAACAUCGAUGGCGAAGGCAGCCCCCUGGGUCAACACUGACGCUCAUGCACGAAAGCGUGGGGAGCAAAACAGGAUUAGAUACCCUGGUAGUCCACGCCCUAAACUAUGUCAACUAGUUGUCGGGCCUUAUUAGGUUUGGUAACGUAGCUAACGCGUGAAGUUGACCGCCUGGGGAGUACGGUCGACAAGAUUAAAACUCAAAGGAAUUGACGGG